rnacentral:rRNA from 1 species
UUGACCUCGGAUCAGGGUAGGGAUACCCGCUGAACUUAAGCAU